UACAAAAGUGCAUUUUCCAUCCCUGUUUACCAAGUGAAAACACAUUCAUGUGUGGUAUAACUGAUAAAAAGGCAGCUUAAAUUACUCUUUUUCUUGUUCAAAGUAAUCAAAACCAUAAUUUGGACCUUUAACCUUAUGAAUGAAUACGUAGCAAAGCAAAAUAUAAUAUAUUAAAACAUAUAAUUCAGCACAGGGAAAAGAGCUAUAGAGGAAUGGGCCUUACUAGUGUGGAGUCCAUGCAACAUGCUCGCUAGUGGUGUCCCACUGAUUAUUGCUCCACUAAAACAGUGACAUAUAGGACCUUAGUAUUACAGAAAUUCAAUUUAACCUCCUAGGACCUGGCGUCCACAUAUGUCGACAUCACAUUUUGGGUUGUCUAGACCAAAAUACUAAAUUUUGCUCUACAGGGGCCUGAUAUACUGCCACUGUGGAUGUGUGGAUCUCAUUUCUGUCAGAAACAAAAAACAGGUAAAAAAAAAAAAAAGAAAAAAAAAAGAAAUCUGGCAAUUCUUUGUUUUUACAUUCAUCAGGUCCCAAUAUGCCCAAAUAUCAAAGAGAAGUUAAAAAUGCAUGCCAUUGGAAGAGUUCAGGUCUUAGGAGGUUAAUGAAAAAAUAAAUAAAUAAAUGCAAUGCAGUUUUGAGAAAGUUUACUGCAACUCACUCAAUGCGUUACAUCUCAGCUACAGCAGUAAGGUGGUUAAAUAAAGAAAAAAGAUACCCGUGUCCAUUGGUAAUAAAAGAAUAUGUCUGCAAGCGUAACAGUGGUGCAUAUGAUGUAUAUUUUUUCAAUAGCUGGAGCUGUAUUGUGCUUCACUACAUAUUAUUUUCAUUCUAUCCUUGUGCUUAAAAUAUACUCAUCUUUGAGAACAAAGCUGAAUAGGGGUGGGGGUUAUGUAAUAUAUGUUCUUAAUGUGAACUGAUUCACCUAUUCACAUGGGUCACGUGGCUUUAUGCUUAAUUUCAUGCUUAGGAAAAAGCCAGGCUCUAGUUUAGACUUUCAGGUGAAGAUCAGGCCUGAAUUUCUAUGCAUUGCACACUUCUUCCC
ensembl:lncRNA